CAGCCGCCGCGGGAAUACGUAGGGUGCAAGCGUUAAUCGGAAUUACUGGGCGUAAAGCGUGCGCAGGCGGUUAUAUAAGACAGAUGUGAAAUCCCCGGGCUCAACCUGGGAACUGCAUUUGUGACUGUAUAGCUAGAGUACGGCAGAGGGGGAUGGAAUUCCGCGUGUAGCAGUGAAAUGCGUAGAUAUGCGGAGGAACACCGAUGGCGAAUGCAAUCCCCUGGGCCUGUACUGACGCUCAUGCACGAAAGCGUGGGGAGCAAACAGGAUUAGAUACCCCGGUAGUCCCUGUCUCUUAUAU
rnacentral:rRNA from 1 species